rnacentral:tRNA from 1 species
GGAGAGGUGCCCGGAGUGGCUUAUCGGGGACCGGGGCUCUGGUCCUGGUCGGGCGCAAGCCCACGCAGGUUCGAAUCCUGCCUUCUCCG